CUACGGGUGGCACCAGUGAGGAAUAUUGCACAAUGGGGGGAACCCUGAUGCAGCAACGCCGCGUGGAGGAUGACGCAUUUCGGUGUGUAAACUCCUUUUAUAUGUCAAGAAAAUGACGGUAGCAUAUGAAUAAGCACCGGCUAACUCCGUGCCAGCAGCCGCGGUAAUAGGGAGGGUGCAAGCGUUACUCGGAAUCACUGGGCGUAAAGGACGCGUAGGCGGGUUGGAAAGUCAGGUGUGAAAUCCUACAGCUUAACUGUAGAACUGCACUUGAAACUUCUAAUCUAGAGUAUGGAGGGGGAGAUGGAAUUAGUGGUGUAGGGGUAAAAUCCGUAGAUAUCACUAGGAAUACCUAAAGCGAAGGCGAUCUCCUGGAACAUUACUGACGCUAAGGCGUGAAAGCGUGGGGAGCAAACAGGAUUAGAUACCCCUGUAGUC
rnacentral:rRNA from 1 species